CCUACGGGUGGCAGCAGUGAGGAAUAUUGGACAAUGGACGGAAGUCUGAACCAGCCAUGCCGCGUGCAGGAAGACGGCUCUAUGAGUUGUAAACUGCUUUUGUACAAGGGUAAAUCUCAAUACGUGUAUUCAGCUGCAAGUACUGUACGAAUAAGGAUCGGCUAACUCCGGGCCAGCAGCCGCGGUAAUACGGAGGAUCCAAGCGUUAUCCGGAUUUAUUGGGUUUAAAGGGUGCGUAGGCGGAUUCAUAAGUUAGAGGUGAAAUGUCCGAGCUUAACUCUGGAACUGCCUCGAAUACUGUUGAUCUAGAGAGUAGGUGCGGUAGGCGGAAUGUAUGGUGUAGCGGUGAAAUGCUUAGAUAUCAUACAGAACACCGAUUGCGAAGGCAGCUUACCAGACUAUAUCUGACGUUGAGGCACGAAAGCGUGGGGAGCAAACAGGAUUAGAUACCCCUGUAGUC
rnacentral:rRNA from 1 species